CCUUGCAAUUGAUCCAGAAAUUAGGCUCCUUUGUAUGACAUCUGGGCCACGAGCGAUUAACUUGGACAAACCGGUUGAAAGAUCGGUAUGGUCGACUAGAGGGGGGUGAAUAGGAGACUAACAAAUUUUAGCUUUUUUUUUUCUUUUCUUGAAAGAUACAAACACUUAAUCCUAGGGCUUUCUAGAUUCUUUAUUUCUACUUACUUAGUGCAAUCUUUCGGGCGGCAGAGCCACUCACGUUAAAGCAACUCUUGAAUCCGG
rnacentral:lncRNA from 1 species